rnacentral:misc_RNA from 1 species
AAAGUGCAAUGUUUAUUCCUUCAUCAAGAAUUAAUGAUUUAAAACCAGGAUCAUUCUCAUAAGAAAAAUCCAAUUAUGCAUUCUACAGACUUCUAGAAAAAGAGCAGCACUUCUAAAAUAAAGAUAUUACCAUUAUGGCGGUCAUCAUCCUAACAACCUGACAUGUGAUAUUUCUUUUAGUGUGCCAUAUAGAUAAGACAAUAAAUCCUCUAAAAUAACACCAACCUAAUGUCUAGCAUCAUUUCGCACCUAUCCACAUAAACAAAAGCACGAAAGGUAAAU